rnacentral:lncRNA from 1 species
UUAGGCCCAAAGAAGUGGAGACCUAGGCCCUUUUUUUUUUUUUUUUUUUUUUUUUUUUUUUUUUUUUUUUUUUUUUUUUUACUCCCUCCCUUUUUCUUUGGAAUGUUUAUACAGAUAUCUAUAAUGUGGCCUUUGUCAUGAUUUUGGAGGAUGGGUGUAUUCGAAUCCAAUGAGGGGUAGGGUAUGACUCAUUAUCAUGUGCCAUGAUUUUGUCUUCCUUUAGCUUUUUUUUUUACUUUGCUUUACCAUUUUUGCUUUCCUUUAGUCUUCCUUUAGCUUUUCUUCAAUAUAACACCAUUUUCUGUGGCUCAGAUCGCAAAACCAUCUUCAUGAAAGUUGUUCCUUAGCUCGUGAACUACAACAUAUCCGAAUUGGAGAUCCAUCGGAGCAGUACAACUCCAGAAAUUCAGGUAUGAUGAGUGAUUGUUCGUCAUUUGUAUAUCAACGCGUCAGACUUGUUGUGAGCUUCAAAAACUCCAUUUUCUCUUGCUCAGAUCAACAUACUUUCUUCAUCGAAGUUGUUCCUUAACUUGUGAACUACAACAUAUCCAAAUUUGAGGUCCCUCGGAGCAGUAUAACUCCAGAAAUCCAGGUAUGAUGAGUGACUGUUCGUCAUUUGUAUAUCAACGCGUCAGACUUGUUGUGAGCUUCAAAAACUCCAUUUUCUCUUGCUCAGAUCAACAUACUUUCUUCAUCGAAGUUGUUCCUUAACUUGUGAACUACAACAUAUCCAAAUUUGAGAUCCCUCGGAGCAGUAUAACUCCAGAAAUCCAGGUAUGAUGAAUGACUGGUUAUUAUUUUUCUGUCAACCCGUCAGAUUUGUUGUGAGCUUUGAAACUCCAUUUUCUCUUGUUCAGAUCGGUAUGCUUUCUUCAUUGAAGUUGUUCCUCAUCGUCUCUUUCAUAACAUAUCAAAAAUUCAGAAUGAAUUAAUGGUUAAAUAUUUCCAGAUCUUCGAAACAUCACAGCAGCUUCGAAAUCUGCAAGAAUCCGACUGUCAUGUUU